CCUGAGAAACCCAAAAGAUCGAAUGGGGAGAUUCAUCGUCAGCUCAUUUUGUAUAUGUAUUAGUUAUGAUGCGGGUUACUACUUGUAGUAUUGCCUGUACAUACUUUUACAUUUAUUUGCAUUAUGUUGUCGGCGUGCACUUCUCCCCUAGUAGGACAUCGCGACCCAUUGGGUGUCGGUCUACGACCAAAGUUGGAGCCUUUAAUAUUUAAAUAUAUUAAAGACACUUUGUGUUUUCUGACCGGCUGCCCGGUGGUACUCGUACGGUAUUAAGCCGCAAUUAUAUUUGCGUUCAUAAUCGUCACAAGCGGGGCUAAUUUCUGGUAGUACGGACCUAGUGCCGUCGCUGGAGUUAACCAGCUGUUGGUUGUUACGAUAUUUUAGAACUGGCUUAAAAUUAAUUUACCGGUCGGCGAUGCUACUGCUUUGGGUACUUUCAGGACCCGUCUUGAAACACGGACCAAGGAGUCUAACAUGUGCGCAAGUCAUUGGGAUUUUUUAAAAAUUAAACCUAAAGGCGUAAUGAAAGUAAAGGUUGUCCUUGCGUCAACCUAGGGAGGAUAAAUUGUAUUAUGAUACAGUUUCGCACUCCCGGGGCGUCUCAUUCUCAUUAUGAGAAGAGGCGCACCUAG
rnacentral:rRNA from 1 species